GCGAAUCACCACCGUCACGAACCAGUGCCAUAUCACUCUCGGUUGCCCACUGCCAUGGACGAAGAAGCUUGGUAGCUUUGGGGCUUCACCGUCGAUGGAUCUCUUCGGUGAGCUCGGUUUAGCCAUAAACCGUUCCCUUUGCUGGUGCCACUGAGAUGAGAAGGACGGAGAGCAAAGAAGGAAGAUAGAUAGCAUGUCGAAGUCGUGUUGUCAUCGUCUCUGUCGCCGGCGUGAGACCCUUGCUCGUUGUUACCGCCGCUGGAAUGAAAGAAGAAAAUAAAAGAGGAGAUGGAGAUGAUUUAGGGAUUUCAUUCCCUGGUGACCUUCUUCACGUGACUUGGGGAUUUCUUUUCCCUCUUUCCAACUCAUUCACGUUUAAUCUAAAGGGUUAAGGCAACCCUAUGUUUUAUUGUUUAAAGUUUUAUUGUUUU
rnacentral:lncRNA from 1 species